CGCCUUCUGAAAAAAAAAUAGAAGGUCCAACCUGCCCAGUGAUAAAUUCUAUUCAACGGCCGCGGUACCCUGACCGUGCUAAGGUAGCGCAAUCACUUGCCCUUUAAUUGGGGGCUAGUAUGAAUGGUCAAACGAGGGUGAAACCGUCUCGUAAAGGCUACUAAAAUUUGUCCUUCACGUGAAGAGGCGCGGAUGCCCCAGAAAGACAAGAAGACCCUGUCAAGCUCAGUGUUUUAUUAAGCUAUCAUUCAUCCCUAAAAGAACACUUUGUUGGGGCAACAUAGGAACAUACUCUUCCCUUACAAUAAACUCACUUAAAGCAAAAGAUCCUGUUAAACCGAAAAAAGAAAUAGCUACUGCAGGGAUAACAGGCUAAUCUGUCCCGAGAGCCCACAUUGACGGACAGGCUUGGCACCUCGAUGUUGGCUUAGGAUUCCUCACCGGGGCAGCCCUCGGUGAAAGGGGGUUUGUUCAACCCAUAAUAUCCUU
rnacentral:rRNA from 1 species